rnacentral:rRNA from 1 species
CAAUAGCGUAUAUUAAAGUUGUUGCGGUUAAAAAGCUCGUAGUUGGAUUUCUGCCGAGGACGACCGGUCCGCCCUCCGGGUGAGUAUCUGGCUCGGCCUGGGCAUCUUCUUGGAGAACGUAACUGCACUUGGCUGUGUGGUGCGGUAUUCAGGACUUUUACUUUGAGGAAAUUAGAGUGUUUCAAGCAGGCACACGCCUUGAAUACAUUAGCAUGGAAUAAUAAGAUAGGACCUCGGUUCUAUUUUGUUGGUUUCUAGAUCUGAGGUAAUGAUUAAUAGGGAUAGUUGGGGGCAUUCGUAUUUAACUGUCAGAGGUGAAAUUCUUGGAUUUGUUAAAGACGGACUACUGCGAAANCANNNGCCAAGGAUGUUUUCAUNGA